GACCCUUUGCGCUUCCCAAGUGAGGCAAUGCCUCGCCCUGCUUCAGCUUAGGCACGGUGCGCGCGCCCACUGACCUGAGCCCACUGUCUGACACUCCCUAGUGAGAUGAACCCGGUACCUCAGAUGGAAAUGCGGAAAUCACCCUUCUGCAUCGCUCACGCUGGGAGCUGUAGACCGGAGCUGUUCCUGUUCGGCCAUCUUGGCUCCUCCCCUGCACUUUUCAAAUAAGAGACCUGGGGGAUUUUAGAACAGGGCUUUCAAGGUAAUGAAGGAAGAGAAUCUUCUUUGGACUUCUUUUUGCUCCAGAUGCGGAGAAGGCAACUUCCCGGAGUCUCUACCAGUGAGAAGGCUACAGAAUCACGGGCAGAUAAGGUCUGGCUCUGUGGCCAUAGCUCACUGCAGCCUCAAAUUCCUGCGCUCAAGUAAUCCUCCCACCUCAGCUUCCCAAGUAGAUGGGAAUACAGCUCCAAAUAACCCCGUGAUUUUGGAUGAUUGAUUAUGGGAAUGCUGCUUUCACUGUACAUCCAAGCUCUCCUGGCCUCAGCGGAUAAGUAUAUGAGAGCACAGU
rnacentral:lncRNA from 1 species